rnacentral:lncRNA from 1 species
GGAAAAGCAAAAACAAACACAAAAUAGAGUUUCUCUGAUGAUAAUUUUCUACUUUUUUUUAUAGGUAAAAGAAAAGGGCACAAAAGGGGGGCAAAGCCAUGUAGAGAAAAGCUUAGCCCCAAAAGAGCUCAUUUACAAUACAAAUCAUCUACAAUGUCGUUUAAAGCAUUUACAUGCACAUAUAACUUUCCAUUAUACCGAAGUCUCAGAAUAGAGUUUUCCUGGCAACAUCCAGCUGACAAUCUUCCAUUUUAGUCUCCUAAUGACACUAUGUCCCGUCUCCACUAAAAUUUUUUAUCACCAUUCUCGUCUCCAUCAUUCAGCCCCCUGACAAUCCAAGACCUAAUAUUGACCUUUAUAUAAACAACGAAGAAACCUUUCCACUGCUACCACUCACAACCUCCUUUUUCUGUCGGGAGUUCUAUCAUUAUUGGUGGAUCACUGAAGGCGUUUCAAUUCGUUAAUUUUUUUUCAAGGACUUAAAAUGCUCAGGGCCAUCAUUUCCAUUCUCAAGCUCCUCGAAAAGACUCAUGGCUGUAUCUUGGAAUGCUCACAAGGAGACUCCAAGGAUCUGGCCAACAGCCUUGAUAUUGUUAAGUACCCAAAAGGAGACAUCCUCCUCACUGUUUACCUCAAAACGAUUCAACAAUGGAACUGAUAAAAAGAGAAUCUUGCCUCAUCAACCCCAUCAGCACCAAGACCAAUGAAUCUCCAUCCACAUCCAAUUCAAACUCCUCCAAAGGCUGCCCUCUUCUUUUACUCUCACCCCUUGAGAAGACAUCACCAGAAGCACCCUCUGUGGGACCACAACCACUGUCCCCAACAUGAGGAGUGCA